rnacentral:rRNA from 1 species
UAGGGAAUAUUAGAAAUGGACGAAAGUCUGAUCUAGCAACACCGCGUGUGCGAAGAAGGCCUUCGGGUUGUAAAGCACUUUUUGGAAGGAUUAGGAAGGAAUGUACUUCCAGAAUAAGUCUCGGCUAACUACGUGCCAGCAGCCGCGGUAACACGUAGGAGGCAAACGUUAUCCGGAUUUACUGGGCGUAAAGCGCGUGUAGGUGGUUUGGUAAGUAGGGCGUGAAAGCUCCUGGCUCAACUGGGAGAGGCCGUUCUAAACUGCCGAACUAGAGGAUGGUAGAGGGAGGUGGAAUUCCGGGUGUAGCGGUGGAAUGCGCAGAUAUCCGGAGGAACACCAGUGGCGAAAGCGGCCUCCUGGACCAUUCCUGACACUCAGACGCGAAAGCUAGGGUAGCAAACGG